UUUGAUCAGUGCACGGGUAUAUAACCGAAUUAUUUGUAAACGGAGAUGUAAAGUCCAAAAUAGGCUGCAGCGAAAACCCAAUAUUUCCAUCGUGGAAUAGUUACAGAUGAUAAGUAGACCUUUGUGAAAGCCAAUAUAAUAACCUAAACCUCACAAGCAUACCAGACUAAAAGAGGAAAAAUCAUUUCAUGCACACGCAGCACAAAUGAAUUUUUGUAUACACUCUCACAAAACGUAUUAAAAAAAUUGAGAUUAACACACUGACAUCCUUUGUUUGAAGUUUGUCGUGGUCUCUUCUUAAGUUCUUGCCCUCCCC
rnacentral:lncRNA from 1 species